CGGAAAUGAGGUCCUUCUGGUGGGAGCAGGGUUGUAUGGAUCACUCUCAGUCCUUUCUCUGUUGUUUUUUCAUUCGCUUUGAUGUCUACCUAGGAAAAUGAAGCCAUUGAGCAAAGCAAAAGUCAUAAGAGCAACUGUGAAGUGAUAACAGUAUGCAGUUAGUGCUCAGCCAGUGGGAACUAAUUCACUCAUUCACAAAGCUACAAAGCUGCCGUCAGACGGCAUUUUUUGUUGCUAUCAAACGGAUUGUGAUUAGAUCCACUGACAAAGACCAGCCAUUGAGCACUGGUCAGGAGCCAUUAGCACCCAGUUCGAACACAAUGUAAAUUGUAUGAGGACUUAUUGUUUUUAUAAAGAUCGCAUGCAAUUUGUUGCCAAGCAGCCUC
rnacentral:lncRNA from 1 species